ACUACAAGAAAACAGACCUAUUGCGACAUACGCACAUGCGACACUACAUGUAUGUGACGUAAAAUUACCACACUAACACUUUAAGUGUCAUAUAUUUACGUCAAUUGUGCGUCAUCUAAAUACUGUGUCAUAGUUUAGUGACAAAUAUGCGACCCUUAUUUUAACGUCUCAUAAUUGCAACAGUUUAUUUGCGGCACCUCAAUAGAAUGUCGUAAUUAUACCACAUUUUAAGAAUAAUGUUGCAUUUAGUGUCGUAUAUUUGUGUCAGUUGUGCGUCAUCUAAAUACUAUGUCGUAGUUUAGUGACACAUAUGCGUCACAUGUUUCAAUGUCUCAAAAUUGCGACACCUUAUUAACGAC
rnacentral:lncRNA from 1 species